UCACACUGGAUCGAACGACUAAAGUAGGCAUAAAAGGCAGAGCUCGAAGUGAAUUUGUGCGAUUUAUAUUAUUAAAAUUUUUACACUUUUAUAGUACACAUUUUGUAUACGCUUUCCCAGCCAAUUUACAGCGUAUCUCAACGAUUAGCCCAGUGCGUGCAUAUUUUUAAACAACAUUACGUAUCGCGGUAGGGGCCAAGAACAGACACAGCAAAAAGCAGAGCAAAGAAAGAAAGUUCUAAAAAUAUUUUUAUCGUCGUGAAAGUCGAAUAUUUUAUUUCGCGCAACCAAUAAAGCUUUAAAUUAAAGACCAACGACGCAUAAUUAAUUGCAAAAAUGGUAUUGAAAGUGUACGUCAGCGGCAUGUCCGGCAACAAGGAGGUGAAAAAACGCCAACAGCGCGUUUUGAUGAUCCUGGACAGCAAGAGCAUUCAGUAUGAUACCGUUGACAUCACAGAGCCCGGCAAGGAGGGCGAAAAGGAGAUGAUGCAAAACAAAUCGACUAGCAAUGGCGGCACAGUCAGCGAUCCAGAUCCCAGGCAUCCAUUGCCGCCGCAGAUCUUCAACGAUGAGGAAUAUUGCGGCGACUACGAUGCCUUCGAUAUGGCCAACGAGAUUGAUACUCUGGAGGUGUUCCUCAAGCUGGCGCCAGCUGAUACAACGGCCGUGAGCAGUGCUCAAAUCGAACUGAAGCAGGAGAACGGCGUUGCCAAGGAUGGUGAGAAGGCUGAAGAGGAGAAAAAAGCUCCAGCGGAAGGUGAAGCCGAAGCUGAAGCUGAAGCUGGCGCAGCCGAGGAAACGGGCGAGGAGAAGGCAGAGGUUUGAGAGCUUUGAGCAAUUUGUACUUUUCUGUUUACUGUUAUGACGCGACAACAACAACAAUAAGCCUGCACAGAAGCAACCACAAUGACAACAACAAUAACAUUAACAUUAACAGCAACUUCUACUAAUGAGACGCAAUUCAAGUUCGACGCCAGCCAUGUUAACAGUAGCAAUAACAGCAAAAUGUACUCUAACAGCAUUUCGGCAAUUGGGCGCAAUAUAACGGUUUGUUCGAGCUUCUGUAUUACCACGACUGCGGUUCUUUAAGUUAAGCUACUAUAUUUAUAUAUAAAGCGUAUAUAUAUAUAUGUAUUUAUGACAUGCAUACUACACACUAAUUUUAUGAAGUGAUUGUGUUCACGCUGCGGUAAAAAUUACAACUUUUAAUCAAAAUGCAUAUUUAUUUAUAAUAAUACACUCACACACUUUUGUAUGUAUGGUAACAUCAUUUGUAUUGAUAACAUUUUGUUGAAAAACACACACACUCGAGAAAAUUUCAUAUUAAUUUAAUACUAAAUUGAAUAGAGUGUAUUUAACUAAAAUCUGUACGAUUUGUGCGGCUGAGUUAUGUUAAUGCGAAAACAUAAAAAUCCGCUGAAUAUAUAAGUACAUAUUUAAUAAAAACGAAAUAUAUUUGUAUUUACUAAAAACAACAAAAGCUUUUAUAACACACACUAAACACAACGCAACAGCACAAGCCGCGCCUCGAAAGCUGUUGUUUAACAGCGCAUGUAAGAUAACAGCGAUCCAUUUUGUAAAUUGUAAUGUUAACAUAUUGCGCUCGUCAAUUUUCAAAGCAAAAGGAAGAAGAUAGCGAGCAAACGAGUGAAGAUAAGGAUAAAGAAGCUAAAGAGGGCGAUGAUGCAGACAAAAAAGAUGAGAAUAGUGAAGAAAAGACUGAAACCGCAGCCGCAGAAGGUAACGGAGAAUCAGAAUCCGAAGAAAAGAAAGCGGAAUCCACAGACAAAACAGAUGAUGAGAAAGAGAAUGAUGCAAAGGAAUCGGAUGAGAAAGAGGGUGAAGGUAAGGAAACGAAAGAAACUGCGGAGAAUCCGGGAGACGAGUCAAAGGAAAAGUCCAAAGAAGAGAAGUCUGAAGAUGCCGAAGACGAAACGAAGGAGAAAACGAAAGAUCUUGAAGAGAGUAAGAAUGACAAAACUGAAGAUAAGACAGAAGAAGUAGACGAAGAAACUGAAGAAAAAGUAGAGGAUAAAAAAGAAACUGAAGAAAAAUCAACCGCCGAUUCUAAUGCAGAGGAAGAGAAGCCGGAAGA